UACGUAGGCAGCGAGCGUUGUUCGGAAUUACUGGGCGUAAAGAGUGUGUAGGCGGUGCUCUAAGUUCGGUGUGAAAUCUCCUGGCUCAACUGGGAGGGUGCGCCGGAAACUGGAGUGCUUGAGCGUGGGAGAGGAAAGCGGAAUUCCUGGUGUAGCGGUGAAAUGCGUAGAUAUCAGGAGGAACACCUGUGGUGUAGACGGCUCACUGGCCCGAUACUGACGCUGAGGCACGAAAGCGUGGGGAGCAAACAGG
rnacentral:rRNA from 1 species